AAUUACCUACGGGGCGCAGCAGUAGGGAAUCUUCGGCAAUGGGCGAAAGCCUGACCGAGCAACGCCGCGUGAAUGAAGAAGGCCUUCGGGUUGUAAAAUUCUGUUAUAAGGGAAGAAAGGUGAUAGGAGGAAAUGACUAUCAAUUGACGGUACCUUAUGAGAAAGCCACGGCUAACUACGUGCCAGCAGCCGCGGUAAUACGUAGGUGGCAAGCGUUAUCCGGACUUAUUGGGCGUAGAGAGCGCGCAGGCGGUUAAUUAAGUCUGAUGUGAAAGCCCACAGCUUAACCGUGGAGGGUCAUUGGA
rnacentral:rRNA from 1 species